rnacentral:lncRNA from 1 species
GGAAUUGAAGUGGACCUAGAAGGCUACGCUGAAGCUUCGGAAGGCCACGUUCCGUAAGGCAAGCCACAGUUCCAAUCUUUGAUCAUAUUGAAACCUAGUAGAGAACCACUUAGUUAUUUUAUGCAUUGAGUAUUUAUAAAAUUAUUUUGCGUAUGAAUUAUUUUUGAAUAAACUUGUUAGUUUAGUUAUUACCCAAUAUUACAUUGUUAUUAUUGGCCAGAUCCAUGAAUUGCUAUAUCACGUCCUUUGAUAACCUAGGUGUAGAUUUAUAUACUUCACAAUAAUAUUCUAGUGGAUAAGACCACAAAAUAUCUAUACUCAUAUACAUGGUUUACCCGUUGUCACGUGGUGGCGUGUCGGGUGAUAUAAAAUAUGUUAUUUGAUAUGAGUCACUCGCCUGGAGUGAUAUGGAAGAUUAAUUCCGGAUGAAGAUGGAUGUUGUGGUGUGUUAGGCCGUGCAUAUUGUUAUAAUUAUUUUGUUGAAAGUGUAUAUUUACACUUAAAGUAUGCACGGGCCUGUGCUAGUUUUGGUGGCUUCCCUCGGAUAUAAGGACUACCCCCUUAUGCCAUGGAAAAUGAUGUAAUUUGCGCCCAUCCACAGGACCAAGUAAUCAGACUUAGCCUAGUACAUGGUCCCACUAUAUGAAAGACUGUAGGGUGGCUCUAUGAGCAGGUUUGGGGUGGACAUGUGGAAGGGGCUUCGGCCAGGUUGACAUGAUCCGCAACGGUGGAACCCAUGAAAGCAGCGACCGUCUAGCCUUGCUUAGGCCCAGCAAGUGCCCGACUGCUAGGACGGAUCAAUAUCCCACUGGGCAGUAACUAGUAGUAAGUGGGACUCUCGAACGGCUAUGUUGUCCUCAGCCUAGCUCGCUGUUGACAUCAGGUGGGUAAAGCUAGGCAGUCUCUGCAGAGAUGAGUCUUAAAUCAUUCGAAUGUGCCGUGCUUCCGGUUAAGAAGCUAUGUCAUUGGGUGAUUCCUAUUUAUCAUGGUAUGAGUAGAUUUUAAAUUAAAAUAUGGAAUAUGAUGAAGAUGAGGAUGAAUGGUGAUUAAUAUUGCUACUAUUUUAAAAUAAUGAUUUACAACUGUUUGCAAAUGAAAUGUUUUACAAAGUAGUAAAAAACUAUUUAUAAUAGGCUUGUUAUGAAACCUCCUUGAUGAACUAUAUUCUUCUUUGUACGCCUUGCACAUAUUCUAUUUGUAUUAUUAUGGAUGUGGCUUGCUGGGUACCUCGGUACUCACCUCUUGCAUAAAAUGUGGUUCAGACGAUCGGUUCUUCCCUGAGGAGGCGCAGGAAGGGGAAGAAUUCUAUGGUGCUGACGAGUUCUUGUUCUAGGUCGAUCUGCUCUCAGGCGUUGCCUGUGGUGUUUUUAUCCUAUUUUGUGUAUGGGUCUUCUGUUUGUGGGGAGUGUGUUUGCCCUGUCGGCCCCUAAAACCUGUCUUAGUUAUCUUUUAUGUAAUAAUUUCUAUAAAAACUUGGGUAUACGUAUCGAAAGUUGUUCUGUAUAUCAAUCUGUGCGCGAUCGAAAUCCUGGACGGUUGGGUGGUUUCGGGAUACCAUACUCAAACCGGGUAUCCCCACACAUACUAUGUUUACAUAUUUAUCUGAUAUUGUUCCUUGAAAUAGAUAACUCAUUAUUGGUUAAUGAAUAUGUGAUUCUUUCAUGAGAUUCUUUAUGUUGUAUGUCACUAUUUCUAAAGGAUCACUGAUCAAAUAUCAAAUGUGGAACAAAUAUGUUUAAAUAAUCAGCACAUGUAUUAAUUGAUGAUUAUGUCUCAUGGAUCAUGGUAUAGAGAUACUAAAUUAAUAAUGUGGACACAUGUUGGGGAACAUAUUGUUGGAUAGACCCAACAUGAGACACUGCAAGAGCCAUAUGUGUUCUGUCAUCAGUGAUCUCAUUUAGUGUUGGUGUCGAAUCCUUAGACUUGAGAUUAUCAUGGUUCCCAACAUAUGUAGUAGCUUACUUAGAGACUGCUAAACGCUACUCUGUAAUUGGGUAGUUAUAAAAGUAGUUUUCGGGUAUGCUAUGAAACAUGUAGUGGGAUAUGAAAAAUCAAGAUGGGAUUUGCCCCUCCUAUGAAAAGAUAUCCCUAGGCCCCUCGAUGUUAUAGAUUAUGAAAGUGCAUGGCCAUGCCAAAGGUGAUUGAGGAGUCAAUCACAAGUAAUAUAUAAUCUAUCACAAGUUCGAGUGAAUGAGCUAUUAGAGGAUGGCACAUAUCUAGCCUUAAGCUUAAUCGAUAUCGUGAGGCAAAGGGGUUCAUACAAGUAUACACUAGAGGUUCAGCCGAUAUGAUCUUUAUGUAUGUCCGGUGGGUCAAUACAUUCGGCUAGGGACCACUAUUGACACAUGGACCGAAAAAGAGUUUUCGGGUUACAGGCGAGUGUAUAUGAACCUAUAGGGUUACACACUUAAUGGGCUGGAAUAAGGGGAAUGGAUGGAUAUCCAAUAUGAGCUUAAUUCGGAUAGGGAUCCGAAUAUAAAUCCUACGGGCCUUGGAGGCCCGAGUCGUGGAUCGUAUAUAUUCGUGAGGGGUGUGACCGGCGGAGGUAUUGCAUCACGUGAGAAACCCUAGCCGCCGCUCCCCUCCCCGAGCAAAACCUUAGCCGCGCGCGGGUGCUAGCACAUCUGCACGUGGCGUUCUGUCCCUAUACGUGUGGAUACCGAUAGAGGCGCCGCUGCUCUGCGGUGCUGAUCGGCGUGGGAGCACGGCGAGGAGAACGCACGAGGAGGAGAAGGUCGAGCCGGUGCGAUCGACUACUUCCUCUACAUCAACGCGCGCUACAUCGUGAGGGUUCCUUUGCCUUCUUAGCGCUUUCUUCUACUGCGCAGCGCGUCGAGUGGUAACGAUCUAUGAUCUAAGACUUGCUUGGUUCCUGGUUUACGCGGUAGAAAAUUUUGAUUUAUGCUAUCGUAGCUUACGCGUAUCCCUACACACUAAAACCGGCACCUAUGUUUGACAGUACAAAAGGUGCCGGUUUACAGGGUGGGUCCCCCAACAGCUAUAGUUCAGGAGGUGAAGGGUGAAAAAUGUCGGUUCUUAAAAUAAAAUCAAUCUCUUUCACCAAAAAGAUGCCGGUUCUAGGGUGGGUCCCGCACCAACUACUCCGAUGGGCUGGGGAAUAUAAGGUGCCGGAUUUUAUAUACAAAACGGCACCUUUCUCUGACAGAGGUAAUAGGUGAAAGAUCUUUUUAAAAACCAGCAACUAUUUGAAGAAAAAAGGUGUUGGUUUUCAGGGUUUAGGCGGGGUGGCGUGAGCAGGCGGGUAGGCGGGAACGAUACUAUAGGUGCUUGUUUUACCACUUUCGACACUUAUAGUGUCCACUUGUAUUAGGGGUUCUGUGGUAGUGGAUGGUUCAAGGCCUCAAGGGCUAUAUGGACCACCUCUCGAAGCCGUCACUAAUAGGUACGAUUGGCCGGCUUAGCCGGUUGAUGCUAAUUGAAGAGAAACACCCGUGAUGUGUGCUUCGGAGAUAUAUAUAGACUUUGGCUGCACCGUUAUGAAUUAAACAUCGUGUUUUUGGUGUCAUCGUCUGAUCUUGCACGGACAGAUGUCUGGUAGAUCAAUUAUAUUUUCAAGGAGAGAUCGAUAGCUCUUGAAUGAUGGUGCACCGAUGCCUAGUAUAUAUGGCGACGACGACCGAUCGACCUUAUAGAAAGUUCGAGGCAACGCCAAGUCCUCUCUUGCAAUGUCACAAAUCACCAAACUCAGCAAGAAGUUGACAUAGUACGUACUCCCUCCGUAUUCGUAUUUUAAUUUAUGACGCCGUUGACUUUUUAUCAAUUUUUAUCCUUCGUUUUAUUUAAAAUUUUUAUGUAAAUAUGAAAAUAUUUAUAUCAUACUUAAAGAAUAUUUGAUGAUGAAUCAAGUUACAAUAAAAUAAAUGAUAAUUAUAUAAUUUUUUUUAAUAAGAUGAAUGGUCAAACGUUGAAUAAAAAGACAACAGCGUCAUAUAUUAAAAUAUGGAGGUAGUAGUAAUUAAGAUCGAUGAUGCGUACAAGCAUCCGGUAUUUGAUUUGGCCAUUAUUUCAGGCAAUCGUCACUCGAUUUUUCACUACUAUAUAUACUCUUUAUACAGUCUGGCAACCGCCAUUUGAACUGGCAAACGCGGCUAGUGGCACAAAAUGGCAAAAAGGAUAAGCUUUUCAAUGCGUAUAAACAUGCACUUAUGUAUAAGUGUUGCCAUCGUUGUUUGGUUAGUGUAGAUAUACUCCAUUUAACAUUUCAAACCAGCCAAGACCUGUUCAUAUUAUUGCACAAAUAUUUCCAAUUGGAUAAAUAACUCUGGCGAUGUUCUUCCGUGCAAUUUGUAAAGGAAGAAUCCGGAGCUUCAAGAGUUGGGUAAAGAAAUAUAGACUAACAUUUCAUUCGGUAAAAAUUCUACUUGAUGUUUGACUUUUUGAUAUGGAUAUGAAGGAUUGACAUUGGUCCAGUUUUAUAUUGGGGUAUCAUCUUCUAAAGCACGAGGAGUUUAUAAGAGGUUGAAAGUAUUUUUCAAUACAAAUUUACAAGCACCAUUUUUACAUUUUUAAACUAAGUGUAUUAAACAUCAGAGUCAAAGUUUUAAAAAUUCCAUAUGAUUUUAUAAUUUUUUUUGAGCAUUUCUGAUGCAUGUGCAUCACCAGAGGAGAAAAAACUAGAAGGUUGACCCUCUUCAUACCAUGUACGGUACAUUCGGAGUAAAUAAUUAUCCUGAGCCCUUGUUUAGUUUCCAACUUUUUUAUCACAUCAAAACUUUCCUACGCACAUAAAUUUUCAACUUUUUUCUUCAAACUUUUAAUUUUGGUGUGAAGCUAAACACAGUCUUAGAUAGGAGAUGACCAUUUUAAGUUUUGAACCUGUUUGGUUUGACAAUAAGGGUGGAUGAUAGCUAGAGGAAUAUUCUAGGAAGCUGUUGGACGAGGUCAUAUGGUAAAAUUGGCCAAACGAAGUACUACCCAUCUUCACUGACCUUAAUUAAUUAUUAGUUAUUUGAUUAGUGAUAAUUGGUUUAGUUCGCAUCAUUGGUAUUAUCACAAUAAGAUUAUUAUUACUAAAUAACAUACUCGAUUGGUUAUAGUCUACUUUAUUGUUAAUGAGUAGUUCAUUAUUAAUCAAUUGUUUACUAUUCUCAAUCUAUCCACCCUCGAGUUUAUCUAAUAUAACCAAACAAAAUAUUAACCCUUUCUAUCCACCCAACCAAACAAACCCUUAAUGGAUUGUUCAUCCGAAAACCAUAGAUGGUCAAGUCCUAUCAAGUAUUGCCCUUAAACCAAACACAUUGAAUUUAUGAGCUUCCAUUCAACGAAAAUCUAAAUCCUUGAUCGAUACAAUUAGGCUAUCUCCAGCGGUGCAUUUAAUCAAACCGUAAAAAAAUAUAGAAAAUAUUUGGUUCCAUUGCAUAUAUAACAUAAACGUAAACAUAGAACCUAAAGAAAAAGAAGCUCCGAAAAAUUUGCCGUCAUCCAACUUAAUUAGGGAGGAUAUGGUUCCCUCCCUCCUUGUCAUACCAAAAUCCUGUAUCAAAAUUUGAGAAAACAAUUACAAAUCAUGCGCCAUAAUUUAAUUCCCCUAUUUUUUUCAGAAAAUACGAAAGCAAAUCAAUAAAACUUAAAGUUGUGUUCAUUUUCACCUCUUCUCAACUUCUACUUCCUCGGGUUUUCACGCGCACACUUCCCAAACCGUUAAACAGCAUGUGUGUUGCAAAAAUAAAAUGAAAAUUGCUUUAAAAAUCAUAUUAAUACUUUUAGAUUUAUUCCAGAUAAAGCUUAAUUAAUCAUGCACUAAUGGAUUUGCUUGUGGGGAGGUAAAGUUCACAACUUUCACCUCUGAAAGCAUGAAGGGGGGGACCCACAUUCUCCUCCCAAAUGAGUUUUUAAAAAUAAAAGUAAGAGCAAAUUUUAUAAAAUGUUAUCUAUUAUGGUUCAAGUUAUACAAAACCACGUGGAUUUUGAUACAUGGCACAUAAUCCAGGGUAUUAUGUUUCUAAAAAUUUACAAUAUUACACCAUUAAUUAUUUUAACAUACUCCUAUAUCAAAAUUCUAUAAAGUGGAUUUAUCAUUUACAUGAUGGAUAAAUUCUUUAUAAAUUUAAGAUCUGAUUGUAUAACUAAAAAAUAUGUUAGAUCAAAGUCAAAAUGAUCAGUAAUGUGAUUUUGUGAAAUUUUAGGAUUAUAAUACCCAGAGUUAUGUGUCACCAUGUGGUUUUGUCCAAUUUAAACUAUAAUAUGUGUGUUUUGAAAUAAACUAUCGGAAAUGAAUUAGGAUACACUGAUAUGUCAGUUUUUCUAAAACUUAGAAAACAAAUGAAUAUAUUAUUUUAAUCUAAAGAAAGGAGUUGUUCUUAAGUGAGAGAGGUCAGAGCCAAAACAAUGAGCGCCAACACUACUAGAGGAUUGAUUUUUCUGGACGCGAUCCCCUUUUGUUUCCAUGCGGUUCGUAAGUGGAACCGCACAGAAAAAUAGAGGCCUGGUGUCAGGCUGUCGCCCACACGGAAAAAUCAAUUUUCCCGUGCAGUCCUCCUAAAUGAACCGCACAGAAAAAUAAACCAAUUUUUCCGUGCGGGCCUAUUAAGAACGCAAAAGUAAUCAUCCCUCCUUUCCCUCGUACCCACUUCAAAAUUUUCCUUUUUCCAUGCCUCGGUCCCAUCCCUCUCCUUUAUUCUCUCAGUGCUCUCUCUCCUAUCUCUCCUCAGUGCCCCUCCUAUCCUCUCCUCACUCCUCUCUCCUCUCCUCCCGUGGCGGAUGUAGGCGAGGGCGGCGGCCCGCACCGACGGCGACGGCGGCGGGUGUAGGCGAGGGCGGUGGCCCGCGGCGACGGCGACGGCGAUGACGGCGCGUGGUGGGCGUAGGUGACGGCAACCGCCCCCCGCGCGGAUCCGGCGGCAGCGGCCACCCCCCGCGCGGAUCCGGUGGUGCAACGGCGGCGGCGUCCGCCCCCGCGUGGAUCCGGCGGCGGCGGCCGCCCCCCGCGCGGAUCCGGCGGCGUGACGGUGGCGGCGGGCCUCCGACGACGGCGAUGACGAUGGGAAGGCGGUGACGGCGACGGGAAGGCGACGGCGACUACGGGAAGACGACGGGAAGGCGGCAGAUCUGGCGACGGCAACGGCGACGACGACGGGAAGGCGGCGGAUCUGGCCAUGGCGACGGCGACGACGACGGGAAGGCGGUGACAGCGACGGGAAGGCGAUGGCGACUACGGGAUGACGACGGCGAUGGGAAGGCGGCGACGGCUAGGGUUAGGGUUUUGUUUUUUCAAUUUUGUUUUUUUUUAUUUUUUUAUUUGUGCGUGUGGGCGACAUAAGCACCCGCACGCGAAAAUCGGAUUUUCGCGUGCGGUUGUGCCGCUCGCACGCACAAAUAGCAAUUUUCGCAGACGAAUUGCUCCAGACGGCCCGAAUCUCUGCACGCGAAAAUCCGUUCGACCACAUGGGAAAACCUUCUGUGUAGUAGUGCAAGACCACGACCUAGCUGAUCCCCAGGUAGAGGUCUAUACCGGCCUGUUUAGUUCGCGAAAAGAAAAUUUUUAACGUCACAUCGGCCUGUUUAGUUCGCGAAAAGAAAAUUUUUAACGUCACAUCGAACAUUUGACCGGAUAACGAAAGGGGUUUUUGACACAAAUAAAAAAACUAAUUUCAUAACUCGCCUGGAAACCGCGAUACAAAUCUUUUGAGCCUAAUUAAUCCGUCAUUAGCACAUGUGGGUUACUGUAGUACUUGUGGCUAAUCAUGGACUAAUUAGACUCAAAAGAUUCGUCUCGCGAUUUCGCCUCUAACUGUGUAAUUAGUUUUUUAAAUCUAUAUUUAAUGCUUUAUACAUAUAUCUAAAAAUUUAAUGUGAUGUUUUUGGAACUAAACAGGCCCUAAAUAACUUGAGAGAAACAUGUAUUAAAUGUAUCUUCCAUACCAAGAUUAUGUAUCUUCCAUACCAAGAUUAGCACAGUUGAAUAAAAAAAAAGUCCCUCCGUGUAGUCAAAUACGACAAGUUUUCUAGAGGAUCUAUUUUUGUAAAACAUGUAUAAUCUAAAGUACUACAACGUCAAAAGUCCAGUGCCUCUACCAUAUAAAAACUGCCAAUGCUAUUAAAAUAUACUAUAUGAUAACCUUGCAUGCACUGUUGACAAUGGGCAAUUAUGGGUUGCAAGAUGGAUUUGUUUUAUAGUUACAUUACGUGAUUUAUGUGCUCUUCACAAGUUGAACUUUAAUCAAUUGUCCCAAAAAGCUAGAAAUAAUUGAGAUGGUGCAAGCUAUAUAUAGCAGGAAAGACAUACACUCUGGAUGAAGGCUAAAAAUAAUCGAUGUGAUUACCUUCGUCACAGAAGCAAAAAUAAAGAAGAAGGACAAUUUAUUAGACUAUAUAUUAAUCAUCCAAUAGUUAUAAAUAUUUGGUAUAUUGUUGCAUGAUAAGAGAAUAAGAAAUAACAUUAACUACAUCUAGCAACCUCGGUUCUUAAACAAUUGUCACUGGACUCUAUUUCUAUAUAAUGUUUGACUACUUAUAUUUUAGCAAUAAACUGUACUAUGAAAGUAUGCUGUAUCUAAAUAUGAUCUUCAAUUAUCUUUGGCCAAAACUUCAUAAUUUAAAUUUGAGUAAAUUGUAGUUUGAGACAUGUUUUUUAAUCAAAGUUUCCCUUUGGACUACCUCCAAUCUAAGGUUUUCACAUAAAGCUAUGCAUCUUUACCUGGCACAAACAGUAAUUCUCUCUUAAAAAUUUGAGAGAAUCUCUUCUAUACCAAUGAGUUUAUUCGGCUUUAACAAUUUAUCAUCGACAUUGUCUCUUUCUAUAAUAUACUGUCGACUUUAUCAAUUAUUCUACAAUACGUCAUUGGGCGUGAGAAUACCUACAAUAGGGACAGCCCGUCAUAGAUUACAGGGAAUCUCGUGUUUGCAUAUCUAAAUCUAAGUUUUGAGCCCUUUGAGACAUACAAGAUUAACAAUUGAUUUAUUUCAUCAAAAGUUUAAAAAAAAGAGAGAAAAUUUUCACGUGACCUCCUUACACAACAUGGAAGUUUGUGUACAUGUUUCAAGUGUUUUCUGGUAUAUUUAUUUUUUAGAAAGAAAAUAUUUUCAUGUGGUAUAUGAGAGAGAAUUUGCUUAUAUAAGAGAAAAUAGCACAAAAUAUCUUAUGUAGUGUAUGAAAGAUGAUUUAUACUAAAAACAACAAUAAAAAAUUAUUUUAUAUAGCAUACAACAGAUAAGUUAUAUUUUUUAAAAAAUAAAAAUGUAAAAAAGAAAGAAAUUCUAUACAAAUUUCCAUGUUAUGUAAGGAGGUCACAUGAAAGUUUUCAUAUAUUUUUUAAACUUCUAAUGAGAUAAAUUAAUUGUUAACCUUGUAUGUCCAUAAGGGUAUUUUUGGUAUUUUUGAAAAGAAGGCCCCAGGCCCAAUGACUUAUUGUAGAAUAAUUGAUAAAGUCAAAAAUAUAUUAUAGAAAGUGAAAAUGUUAAUGACAAAUUAUUGAACUCGAACAAACUCAAUUGUAUAGAAUAGAUUCUCUCUUAAAAUUUGUUGGUGAUCAAAAUCAAAACAGGCUAACAGCGGUAGAACACCGGUCAAUGUAAACCAAUCACGUUAUCUACUCCCUCUGCCCAUUCGUCUUAUUUAAAAAAUUUAUAAAAAAAUUUUAAAAAAUCAUGCAUAAAGUACUAGUCAUGUAUUAUAUAAUAAUAAUAAUAAUAAUAAUAAUAAUAAUAAUAAUAAUAAUAAUAAUAAUAAUAAUAAUAAUAAUAAUAAAAUUACAAAUAAGAUGGAUGGUUAAAUAUUGUAAAAAAACCUGUGAUUGCAUUUAAAUGGUAGAGUACGUAGGGAGUAUAUAAGAUUCAAGGACGUACGAUUCAAUUCAUGUAUCACUUCCUGCCCUGAUGACGGCAGCAUCGCACCAGAUGAAUUUAACAAGAUCUUAUCCCUUUCGUACAUUUACUUUAAUUUUUAAGUCAUUUAGUCAACUUUGACCAUGCAUUCCUCGUAAAAUAUAUAUGUAUUUCAUUCGGUUCUUUCGAGCCUUGUUUGCAUUGGGCUCAUUCUAUAUAUCUUUUCAUAGCUCUCUAUUAUUUGCAAAAUCACCUUAAAAUAUAAAUAUUAGAAUAAUUUUUAUAUACUAAAUAUUCUAUAAUUUGACUACUCGAUCAAAUUCUAAAAAGUUUGACAUUUCUAUAUCAAAAUGCAUACUAUAUUGUCCUGCUGAGGGAGUAAUUUUAAGAGGAAAUUUGAUAAAUCCCAUCGCAUAUAAGCAUGACUUAGCCACUUAGGUAUUAGAAAAACACAAUUGAAAAUUCUCUCAUAGCCAAAUGAUAUUGCAAAUGAACACAUAAAUCUUUUUUUUUGCGGGAAUGAACACAUAAAUCUGAAAAGUACCAUCUCACCGAUCGAUAGUUUUUCAAUCCAUAUGCAAAGCAUCCAUUCAAGUUAGAGAAAAAUGAUACAAAUAAUUGUUUUGCCCUUCUUCCGCACAUGAGAGUUACCUAGGGGGUUGAACCCUAGCGCUCGCUGCCCCAUCUCCCCUCUUCUCCCUCUCCUCGCCACCGGAGAAUUGAGUGGUCAACCGGGAUGGCGGCGGCGGGACUAAACCAUGGUGGUGCCUCGCCUUCAGCGCGAGGAAAGUGGCUUGGUGCGUGGAGCAUAGGGAAGACGACGUGGAGACUACGGAUCCGGCUCUACCACAGCUAGGUCUGGUCGCCCCGUGUGUGUAUCCGUUGCCCCUGUGCCGGAUCUGGCCGGAGCAGCCAGUGCAACGAAGCAGCAGCAACAAGAUGCCACGGGGGUUAGUGGCAAGGAGGUCAGCACGAGCAAUGAUAGCGGGAGGCUAUGAUGGCUUGCGGCGAUAGGAGGCCCACGUGGGCGACGACGGCAGGAGACCACCAUGACCAGGGCCCAAGGGCAAGGAGGCCGAUACGAAGCUAUAGCAGGCAUUUGGUGAAGGUGAGGUCGACAUGGACAGAGAAGGCUGCGGCUGUUGCAGAGGGCAGGAACGGCUACUCGCAGUGCUGGCCGAGAUAGUGGUCAACGUGGGUAACGACUCUACGCCACUACGGAAUGCAGCGUCGGUCGUGAAGGUGGCCCAGUGGCACCGGGUGUGGUGGAGCUGCCGGCCGAUAGAGAUUGUUGGGCGGAGGAGUUCUGGGGUGGCAUCGAAGGUGUGGGAGAGGGUGGAUUUCCCGAGCCAGCAAUGACAACGUGUUCGGGCGCCGUGACCCCUUUUGGGCCGUUGUCAAGCAGCUACCCUUCCUCCUACUUGCAAAUCUCAUCGGCUGGAAAAACCAGUCUAGUUGGAUGGACAACGGUGGCACCUAGGAUGUCAUGACCUCCUUGAAGACGUUGCUUAGGAGGUCUUGUUCCCUGCCUUUGCCGCCUUCUCUCGGUUUGAUUGUUGGCGGUUCUUGAUUGUCAUCAUCAUGUUGUCAGGAGGGAUGAGUAUGUGUAUUUUCUUCUCUCUCGCCCUCUCCCUCUCUUCAACACCUCUACAUGAUGAUAACCAUAAACUUCGACUAUCUUCUGUACAGAGUCGGUAUGUGGGAAAUAUUUGCAACCCCCCUUAAAGUUUAGCAGUGAUCGCACGCAUAUGGCGGUCGGCUUGGUGCUAGCGCCUUCUUUUGGGUUGUGUGAGGAGCUGCCAGCGUGCGGUGCUGGUGUGUUUGUUUUUGUUUUUUUUCCCGGUUAACCUCCAAAGGUUAUAAUGUUGUAUCUUUCAUGCUAUAUCAAUAUAAAAUUUUGCACCAUCGGGUGCGAGUCGUUUCUUAAAAAAAAAAGAUUUGCCUUUCUUUAUCCAUGAACUUAUUAAAUGUUGCAUAAAAAAUAUCAAAUGUGAUCCAAAAAGUUCUCCAUUAAUAAAAUUUAAUUUAGAUCGAGAUAGAAUUUUGAAUACCUAGAACAGGAAAAAUGUUACUGAUAUUUAUAUUUUUUAUUUAGUUUUUUAUUUUCUUUCUUGCUCGUAUUAUGAUCUUUUUUUCUAAUUGCUAUAUAUUGUGUUCAAAAUCCAAACUUCUCAUUUUGGGAUAUUUUGCUUGCUAACUUAAAUAGCUUUACUGAUUUUUUGGGAUGUUAAUAUUUCUGUGGUUAAAGAAGUUUAUAAAAUGAACAGAGAAUGCUGUGACAGGUGACAGCAAUGAUUUUUCUCAUACUAACGGUUGCGCGUCGCCAUUUAAUUUGCUAUACAUGCAUGACGUACUUGCGAUGAUCUUGCCUAGGUUGCAUUUCUUUGCUAUGGCUUUCAACAAAUUAAAUCUAGUUUUAAAAUGCAAGAACUUUGAUUUACUGGGUCAACUAUGAGUCUCGGUCAAGGGGUCUGUCUUUUUUAGAGUUAAUGGAGAUGCAUAUGGAUAAUUCGUGGGGAAACUCUAUUCAUUUAAGAAUGUCCCCUGUUUUUACAUGUAGUCUAAAAAUCAUCAUUUUUUUAAAAAAAUAGUAAAAUAGAUAAAUAUGUGAUAUAUCGCUUCAUCACAAACAUACAUGUUUAGAUUCAACUUAUACAAAUUGAAAAAAAAUAAAUUUGACUAUGGAUAGAACGCGUAAUCACAGUCAAAUUUGUAUAAGUUGAAUUUCAACUUGUAUGUUUUUUAUUUUAACUUUUUUUAACAAAAAUUUAUGAUUUUUUAAAUACCAUGCAUAAAACAAGAAAACAAGAGGAUGUCCCUCGAAGGACAGAAACAAUCCACUUUCUAAUUCGUGCCACCCUAUACUUGGUCCAUAGUUUUUUUACUAUUUAUUAACUUUAUAAUCUAUAAUAUUUAUUGGCUAGUGGAACCUGUUAGCAUAUCAGCUGAACUGAAUGGGCUGUGAUUAAGAUAGUUUCUUAUGAGAAGGUGUUUUCAUCCCUCAAGAAAAUAUCUCUUUAUCACCUAAAUAGUUAUACUUUUUUUUUUAAAAAUGAUAAUUUAGAUUAAUAUGGCAUGUAUCACUCCAUAGAUAUGCGAGUUUAAAAUUCGACUUUUACAUAUUGUAACAAAAACAAUAAAUACAACUAUGAUUGUAUGUUAACUAGUUUCAGUUUUUUUACAACUUUUAAAAGUCGAAUUUGACGUCUAUGAAGUGAUAUAUAUCAUAUUUAAUCUAUGUUAUCAGUUUUUUUAUUUUUUUAUAACUAUUUAGAUGAAAUGAAAGAAACGAGAGGAUGUCCCAUCGGAGGAUGAAAAUCGAUCUCCGAUUCUUAUAUAUAGAGAAGGUAGGGUUUUGAAGCUGCAUCUAUCUAGCUCAGGUUUGCCCAUAGCCUUAGCUACCUAGGACGAAGCAAAGGAACAGCAAUGACUUCUGUUUCGCUUGUGUUGCUGCUCCUCUUGUGCAGUUACCAUUCUUUCGUUGCUCGUGCAGGAAAUGAAUAGAGUUACAAGGUUCUUGACCUUAAUCCUAGUAGGGCCGUCUGCUCUGAGCCCAAUGGUAGUGAACUGUCCAUAAAAAUCUCUCGUAUCUUUCUGCAACUAAAAUUUCAUGCAUGCAGUGAAAGUUUAAUAUACUUUGCAUGCAGUGAAAGUUUUAAUAUACUUCUUGUGAAAGUUCAAAUUUCCUAAGAAAUGAAAUUUAAUUUUUGCAGCGACCAUUCCGUCAUCCUCAGAUGGAACGAGCUCGGUGACGUUGAGCCACCGGUACGGCCCAUGCUCGCCGGCGGAUCCCAACUCCGGCGAGAAGAGGCCAACCGACGAGGAGCUGCUCCGCCGUGACCAGCUCCGAGCUGACUACAUCCGACGCAAGUUCUCCGGCAGCAACGGCACGGCCGCCGGCGAGGACGGCCAGUCGUCCAAGGUGUCCGUGCCGACCACGCUGGGCUCCUCCCUGGACACGCUGGAGUACGUCAUCUCCGUCGGGCUCGGCUCGCCGGCGGUGACGCAGAGGGUGGUCAUCGACACCGGCAGCGACGUGUCGUGGGUGCAGUGCGAGCCGUGCCCCGCCCCGUCGCCGUGCCACGCCCACGCCGGCGCGCUGUUCGACCCGGCCGCGUCGAGCACGUACGCGGCGUUCAACUGCAGCGCCGCCGCGUGCGCGCAGCUCGGCGACAGCGGCGAGGCCAACGGCUGCGACGCCAAGUCGCGGUGCCAGUACAUCGUCAAGUACGGCGACGGCUCGAACACAACCGGGACGUACAGCUCCGACGUGCUGACGCUGUCCGGCUCCGACGUCGUCAGGGGCUUCCAGUUCGGGUGCAGCCACGCCGAGCUGGGCGCCGGCAUGGACGACAAGACCGACGGCCUCAUCGGCCUCGGCGGCGACGCGCAGUCGCCGGUGUCGCAGACGGCGGCGAGGUACGGCAAGUCCUUCUUCUACUGCCUCCCGGCGACGCCGGCCUCGUCGGGGUUCCUCACGCUGGGCGCGCCGGCGAGCGGCGGCGGCGGCGGCGCGUCGCGGUUCGCGACGACGCCGAUGCUCAGGAGCAAGAAGGUCCCGACGUACUACUUCGCGGCCCUGGAGGACAUCGCCGUGGGCGGGAAGAAGCUCGGGCUGUCGCCGUCGGUGUUCGCCGCCGGGUCGCUGGUGGACUCCGGCACGGUGAUCACGCGGCUGCCGCCGGCGGCGUACGCGGCGCUGUCGUCGGCGUUCCGAGCCGGGAUGACGCGGUACGCGAGGGCGGAGCCCCUGGGCAUUCUCGACACGUGCUUCAACUUCACCGGCCUGGACAAGGUCAGCAUACCGACCGUCGCGCUGGUGUUCGCCGGCGGCGCCGUCGUCGACCUCGACGCGCACGGCAUCGUGUCCGGCGGCUGCCUCGCGUUCGCGCCCACCCGCGACGACAAGGCCUUCGGCACCAUCGGCAACGUGCAGCAGCGCACGUUCGAGGUCCUGUACGACGUCGGCGGCGGCGUCUUCGGCUUCCGCGUCGGCGCUUGCUGAUCGGCCGGACGCACGAACGUCGAGGCUGGUCUUGUACUGUCGUACAUAUGCAUGCAUGGAUCUCUUAUCGACUAGUUUGUGGUUGUGAGAUAAGAAUACUAUUACUAUAUACGUUUGCAAAAAUUCAUCAACACGUAGUUUUCAUCAUAAUAUAUAUGAGUGUAUUUUGAUCUUGUAUAAAAAAAUAAUUGUCUUGUGAUAGCAACACAAGAAAUCAAUGUAUUGACAAGUAGUGUUCUCUUAAUGAUUUUUUUAUGAAUAAUGAAGAGUUUGCACUUGAUUUGUUCCCAACUGGCAGGCACUUGAUUUGUUCGGGGAGGGCUAAUGGGUGGGUGAUCACCGAGAGCGAUCGGGCAUGCUCCUUCCCUUCUCCUCUACCUAUUGCAUCAUAAAUUCCAAAAAAAAUGAUUACCUAUAUAUUUAUCGAUAAAUUUUCAAUCAAAAAUUUGACAGAUGUAAUUAUAAUAUAAUCACCAUGUAAUUACACUGUAACUUGCAUGUAAUUACAAUGUAACUUUUAAAAUCUCUACGUAACAUGCUAUCUUGGUGAAACGGAGGUCGUGGGAACGAAUCCUCUCACAUGUGUGCGUGUUAUGACUUUUUUCCUUCUUCACUUGCAUAAAUCUUGAAACAAAUCUAACGGUUUAAAAUUAUGUAAAAGUUAUAUAAGUUACAGUGUAAUUAUACUACGAUUGUAUUGUAAUUUACAUUUGUCAAAUUUUUAGGAGAAAAUUUUUCGACAAAUAUAUAGCAAAAUUGAAAAAAACAACUGACGGAGCUUGGGGCUCCUCACCGGGAGACCGCGCAGGCCCCCCUUUGCCGGUUCGGCCGGGGGCCCUGGGUGAGGUUCUAAACUCCUGGUCUGUGUGUGGAAGGUUCGCGAGAAUGGAAAAAGCACAAGACACGGGCGAUGUAUACAGGUUCGGGCCGCUGAGAAGCGUAAUACCCUACUCCUGUGUUUUGGUGGAUCUGUGUAUGAAGAAGCUACAAAGUGCCUGCCAGCCCCUGAUCGUUCUGGGAUCGUUUUUUCCCCCUUUUCUAAGUGGGCAAGGUCCUCCUUUUAUAUCUCAAGGGGAUACCACAUGCACCAUCUCUCCCUCUCUUUCUUUUGUGUCGGGACUCAUCCUCCCUUCCCUCCAACUUGACUUCUCUUCAUUAAUGGACGGAGAUUUGUAUGGCUGCCGUCCGAAUGACCUUCUGAUGGGACGGCCCAUACCUACCUCCACUUCCGCCGGAAGCAGGCGCGACGUGGGAACAUGGCUGUCUGCUGAUGACAUGACCAUAGUCAGUCCGGUUACAAAUCGGUCAUUCUUGUCCACCACGUGUCAGUUUAACAAUCUGCAUGUUCGCCCUUCUUCAUACAAUAUCUUGCCUGUAAUGGUUAGGAUGAAGCCUGGCAUAUAUCUGACCGGAACCAACGUGCCAUCUCCAGGAGCUAACACGCCGGCUCCGGCUAGGGACGAGUGCUUGGAGGCUCUCGUCCUGACGGGAUGGGGCGAGGCGUGCGUCAGACCGCCUGUCGCCACCUAACCCACGAUCUGAUCGGUCUGUGACUGGUCACAGACCGGAUAAACGAGCGCGCUGCACUGCGUUACAUGCGGCGUGACGCGCUCGUCCAAACCGCAAUAAAUGUGGUUAGGUGAGCCCCGCUGUGCUCACCUAACCCAUACGCGCGGCGCAAAACCCACAAGGGGUCGGGGCGCCUCGGCCCUCGGGGCCGAGGCGGGAGCGGUCCAACCCCCUCGGGGAGACAGAGGAGGGCGAACACAUCACCCUCGGGCCCGACGCCCCCCGAGGGUGCCAGGCUACGUGGGCGAUUGUGUCUGCCUCAAGCCUCUAGUCAUGAUACUCCCGGUCCCAUGUCACCGACAACAACUUAGAAAAAAUUAAAAGAAAAUAGAAAAAAAUCUAAUACCCUUAAAAACCAAUGUUCAAAAUCCCAGACCUCCCAUAGUUUUCAGCGCAUUUUUUUUGAACGAAUCGGUGAGCCGCCAAUUUCAUUGAAUAUAGAAGGAGAAAACUGUACAGUGUAAAGGGAAAGAAAAAAACUCAGGACCUUUCGCCCUAGUCAACUAAGGAACAAGCCAAUUUCUCAGAUGAUGCGCGCCUGCUAAGGCCUAUAUCUUGGCCUCGUCCUUGAUUUUUGUCAGAAGACCACUCGGUGGGAGCUCCUUAUGCUGGAAUGUUCUGCGAUUUCUUUCAUUCCAGAUCUCCCAGACGACUAGGAACGUUAGGGAGCGUAGAGCCUUUUUGGGUGCCUCUUUUACACUUGUGGUUUGAUCCCACCAUUCUAACACCGACGAAACCUGCCACCAAUGGUUGGGGUGGAUAUUGUUGCACGCCGUCCAUUCCGCUAGGGUCGCCCAUAUUCUCUUUGUGUAGCGGCAGCCUGCGAGGAGGUGUAGAGCCGUCUCCUGGACCCGACGACAUAAGGGACAUAUGGAUCCAUUUGGCCAUCCGCGGGUAGAUAGUCUAUCAGAGGUCCAGACUCUAUUCUGAAUGACCAGCCAGGCGAAGGUUUUGCAUUUGCGAAGAGCCCAGGGCUUCCAAAUUAGGUUGUUGGCCGUUGUUCCAAGUAGUUGUGCAUUAUAGGCCGAUGUUGCCGUAUAUUGACCGUGGCUAGUGAGCUUCCAAGAUAUUUGGUCGUCCUCAUGUUCUGUCAGCUCUAUUGUCUGGAUGGCGGUCCAAACCGUGACAAGUUGGUCAAUCAGCUCUGUUGUCCAGCCCACGUCCGCUGGAAAUCCCAGAUCGAGCAGCCAUUGAUCUGAUUGCAAGGCAUGUUGGAGGGUACUAUUCUUUUUCUUGGAGACCGCGUAGACUAGCGGUGCCACAUCUUUCAUCCUUCUCUCCUGCCACCAGGCUGACUCCCAAAAACUCACAGUCGCCCCAUUUCCGAUUGUUAUGGAUGUCGCUGCUGCGAAAAGGAGCUUAUCGGUGUCAUCGCACGGCGUACCAGAACCCACCCAUGCUUUCUCCGGUGACUUCCAUUCCUGCCAAAGCCAUCGGAGGCGCAAAGCUCUUGCAAACUUCUCAAGGUUUAGGAUUCCUAGACCUUCGGAACCAGUUUUCAGCUUGCAAACACCUUGCCAAUUAACCAAGCUGGUUCCAACACUGAACUUUUAGGGGUCAUCUCCCUUCCAAAGGAAGGCUCUUCCGAAGCGAAUGUAAAGGACUCUACGGCCCUGUUUAGAUUCCAAUUUUUUUCUUCAAACUUUAAACUUUUCCGUCACAUCGUUCCAAUUUCUUCAAACUUCCAAUUUUAGCGUGGAACUAAACACAGCCUAUAUUCCUUACACAUGCGUGAACAUUUGUAUUCUCAAAGACAGCCCAAAAUUAAUGUAUGCUUUGGUACGGUAUAUGCCUGAUCUUUUGCCAAUUUGGAUGCCCACGUAUCCGACAGCUCUCUGUGAGAAAGCGGUUACAUUGAAAAACUACAAUGUUCACGAGGGAUUGGGGAAGCGUCGGCAGUGACUGUAUAUUUGGACACUCUUGGAUGGUCAGGAUAUCAAGCUUUGUCAGGCAAUCCAAGUUGGCAGGCAAAGAGUUCCAGCUACAAUCUGUGAUUGAGAGGUGAUGCAGAAGACCGAAACGCUCACCAAUCAUGGGUGGGUUAUUCGAGCCUUUACAACUCCAGAACAUAAGGAUUUGCAAUGCGGCCGGGAAUUCUCCCUGCUGCACGACCCCUUUUACUGACAACCAACUUGGGUAUGUCGUACCAUUAUAUUCCCUGAUGCAAAGGGAUGUAAUCCAGGCUGGUGGAUGGAGCUCCUCAAGGACCUCAGCUUGCAUUUGAAGCUCUGGACCGCUGCUCAUCUCCGUUACAGGUGCAGUUCUUGAUGCGGAGCGUUCGUCACCACCCCAACUUAGCGUCAGAUCAGUUAUAUGCCUCUUGUCAGCUAGCCUGGCUCGAACAGCCUCCUCUUUGCUUCUUAUAUUAUCAAGACAGUCAAUGAACAUCCUGCCACGAAGGUUGUUCAGGUAUUCCAGCUGGUGUAUCUCAUAUCCCUUCUCUUUCCUCACAGUGAAGCGAAACAGAUUUCGGAGCGAUUUCAGUCUCCCUAUGUUGGGAAUGUCCAAGCCUUUCCACGUGUGCAUAUACCGCAAAUUGACAAGGUUCCCCAUUUUCGCCGGGGAGGAAAACUGCAAAUUAACGAAAGGUGUGACCGAAAACUCGUGGAGAUGGUAAAGCUUGGCAAAUUCGGCUGGCAAAGUGAUGUCGUUGUAAUUAAGGGAUGGCGAAAUACCAAGAUAACGAAGAUGUUUUAGUUCACCAAUACAUGCUGGGACCGUCCUCAUAUCUUGCAAGUCCAAGUACACCACCCGCAAUUUCCUUAGCCUCAUCAGCACACGCUCAAAGUCGUUUUUACUCAUCUCCUUUAUGGAAUAGCACAUGAUUAGUGUGCGCAAGUUUGCCAGCUCCAAAAUCUGCUCGGGGAAUACUUCAUCGUAGAACAUUAUACAAACAUGGCGAACAUAUUUCGAAAUAUGUUGUACAAUGCCUUUCUUGAUUUCAACACGGUCGCUGCCAGCAACCAUCUUUGCUACGUCAUACAACGAAUCAUGAGCCGUGAAGUACUCCCCAGAACUAGUGUCAGAAUUAACCUUCCUUUUUAGCUGAAGAAAUGAGCACACCUGCAGUUCAUGAAAGUAGAGCUCGCCGACAUCUUCCAUAUCCUCCUCUCUUGCAUUGGUUGUCUUCACCAAACCCUGUGCUAUCCACAUGCUAAUAAGUCUCUCUCGUUCCAACUCAUAUCUUCUAGGAAAUAUGCUAUAGAAUUCAAAGCAUCUCCUGACAUCCAUAUCAAGCUGUUGAUAGCUCCAGAGCAGAGCUCCUGUGGUAGAAUUCAACACGUCGAGGUUUGAUGUUGCUCUCCAAUAAGUGAUAUCUGGGUUUUGCUUAAGCCGGACACCCACUAUUACUGCUGCAAUAGGUGACCUUUGUAGCUUUUCUGCAAUUUUUCUCCCAAGUGGUAUAAAAUCUCGAUCAUCAAAGCUUGUGCCUUCUAGUGCGUAAUGCAUGAACAUUGAAAAGUAUAUCUCCUUGUCCAAAUCAGAUAUUUGAAUAUAUCUAUUAGCUCGUAGAGCUACAUCUGUUCUUCUAGCUGUCACUAGGAUUCUGCUUCCUCUCUUCCCAACAUCAAGUGGAGAAAGUAAAUCUCGCUGCUCCUGGUCAUUCUUAUCAUUGACAUCAUCCAAUACCAACAAGAAACGUUUGCCUCUUAAUUCCUUCUUCAGCUUAUUUUGUAGUUCUCUACGAUCAGUAAUACUGGAAUGCCGGUUUUCUGUGAUCUCCUCAAGCAUAUCAUGAAAUAUGUAGUCUGCUCUCAAUGUCUCAGAAACAUGAAUGAGAAUGAUAGGGUCGAAAUAUUUGUCUUUAUCCUCUUUUUCGUAGUCACAAACAUAUUGUGCCAGGGUAGUCUUGCCAGAUCCUGCAAUGCCAUGUAUGCAAAUCACACGAUAACACUUACUGUUACUGGAGCUUGCUGCAUGAUCAUCUGGUCCCUCACGGAGAAUCCUAUGAAUGACCUCACGCUCCUCAUCUCGACCGAAUACCGUUGGUUUAGUAACAGGUUUAAUGCUCUGCCUGUAAUUGCUGGAAAUUGUAUUCCAUCUACUGCUUCUUUCCUGGUUCGAGAGAUGUGAUUGAUGCGAUUCGGUGCAAAGAUGUUUCCAGUCGUUCAAAAUUUCUUCUAUCGCUUCUAUUCUUUUCCUCAACUUCCUUUUGGCACAAAUAGUCAGGAAAGAAUCACUCCCCUGCAAGAAACAAAGCCUCAAAUGAUUACACAAGCUGAUUGUUGAAAAUAUAUGAUCCGCAUUUCUUGAUAUUUUGGGUUUACUUUCCUUCAAAGACUCUUAGUUCUCCUUUACAAUGCAACAUAAGAAGAAACAUAGGUCCCAUGGUACGUCAUAUUUGUAAACGAAAAGUAAUUUGUAGAUAAAACUUUUAUAUAUGUGUUCUUAGCGAUUUAAAAGUAAAUGCUGAAAAGUAAACUUCGAUGAAAAACCCCCAAAUCAACUCCAAAUUUAAGGUUGAAAAUUUAAAUUUUGACUGAUAAGCAUAAGUAUAAGCGAAAAGAUGAGGCUGAUAGAAAGCAGAAUGCAGAUAAGAAAAAAAAACAAAGAAACGUAAACACAUGAAGUUCAUGGCAUAUCUUUUCAAUUUUAUAGGAACAUAAAACAAUGGAAGUACAGCAGGAAAAGCACUGAAAAUAUUAAAAUUAAAGUAGAACAUGUGCCCAAUUAACAAUCAUAUUUAUUAUUUUCAUAAUUAAUAAUUAUACAAUAAAUUUGAAUCUAUAUAUUUCUGAAGUGAUACAAUAUUACAUAUUGAUUUAACUUGUUAAAUUCUUUAUUAUUAUUAUUAUUAUUAUUAUUAUUAUUAUUAUUAUUAUUAUUAUUAUUAUUAUUAUUAUUAUUAUUCUUCUUCUUCUUCUUCUUCUUGACGACAUGAUAUGGAAGAAACGGGAGGACACCAUAUAGUACUACCUUUGCCUCAAUUUAUGUAUAGUUUUAGAUUUCUGUGUGUAACGUUUGACCGUCCAUUUUAUUUAAAAAAAUUAUGAAUUUUUUUUUAAAAAAAGUUAGUCAUACAUAAGUACCAUUCAUGUUUUAUCAUCUAAUAACAAUAAAAAUAUUAAUUAUAAAAAUUUAUCAAAUAAGACGACGAUAAAACGUUGGAUAUAAG